rnacentral:sRNA from 1 species
CCUCUUCGAUCUGCUGCGGGCAGAUGAAGUGGAUGUGGGUGUCGAUGCCGCCGGCGGUGACGAUCAGGCCUUCGGCCGCGAUGAUCUCGGUGCCGGGGCCGAUGACGAUGUCCACCCCCGGCUGCACGUCGGGGUUGCCGGCCUUGCCGAUGGCGGCGAUGCGGCAGCCCUUCAAGCCGAUAUCGGCCUUGACGAUGCCCCAGUGGUCGAUGAUGAGGGCGUUGGUGAUGACGCAGUCGGCCGCUUCGUGGUGGCCGGGGCCGUUGACGACCUGGGACUGGCCCAUGCCGUCGCGGAUG